AUUACUUCUAAUUCGAACUUUAUUGUUAAUCCGACAUAAUCUCGUAUUCACUACCACAAACUCAUAGUGUACGUACCAUGAAACAGUACGUAUCUGUUGUAACAUGACUUUGUGAUGAUAUGUAACUUUCUGUGUGAGUGAUUGGUUGAUUGACAUAAUUAAGGGAAAUCAUUGAGUUAGUUUUUAUCUAUUUUUUGAGGUUAAUUAGGGACACCAGAGUUCAUGGCUUCAGAAGUAUAUGCUGAGGAAUACAAUGAAUUGGUUGAUGGCUUAUUUCUAGUUAAUGACUAGAUAUAAGUUAUUUUUCUGCCUUUUUCUGCUGUUUCAAAGCCUUAGAAAUGACUGAUUUGUUUAAAUAGUUUUUCCAAGUACAAAACAUUUUUCAACAGAAUCCUUCAAUAAAAAUUUCUCAAGGUCUUCUACUAUGAAUCCUUCAAUAAAAAUUUCUAUAAGCAAAUUUCUUUCUAUUUAUCUAUUGUAAUGCCAACUGUCAGGUUUGACAACUCUGCCUCCAGCAUAGAGGCCAUGUGUGAUAGAAAAAAUAUAUGGAUUUUACAGUACUCACGUCUACAUCGCAAAUUAUAGAUGCGAAAUAAUAUUCUUUCCAUUUGAAGUUAAUUAUACUAGAUUAUGCUUCUACACAUUUAAUAUUCUUGGCUUUGUUGUUAAUGUGAUGCUUUAUGUUAUAGAAGAGUUGGUAACACUAUAUGAUAGUAUCUAUGACUGAAAUUGUCACCAUUUUUUAUCAGAUGAGAAUUCAGGAGAAAGACUGAAAUUUUCAGAAGUACAACUGACAGCGGUGUCUGAUUAGCAGUUAAAUAAUUGCCGGUGAAAAUCAAAUAAACAAUAUAAACGCAGCCUGGUCUGGAUUCCAUUGGAAUCGUUGCUAUUUCUCAUGGUUGCACUGGUGUGGCAGCACGUGCUUGCAGCCUGGUGGGUUUAGAGCCUACAAGGGUUGCAGAAAUCCUUAAGGAUCGGCCUUCGUGG